AGCCAUGGGCAGGUUGAAGGUUGGGUAACACUAACUGGAGGACCGAACCGACUAAUGUUGAAAAAUUAGCGGAUGACCUGUGGCUGGGGGUGAAAGGCCAAUCAAACCGGGAGAUAGCUGGUUCUCCCCGAAAGCUAUUUAGGUAGCGCCUCGUGAAUUCAUCUCCGGGGGUAGAGCACUGUUUCGGCUAGGGGGCCAUCCCGGCUUACCAACCCGAUGCAAACUGCGAAUACCGGAGAAUGUUAUCACGGGAGACACACGGCGGGUGCUAACGUCCGUCGUGAAGAGGGAAACAACCCAGACCGCCAGCUAAGGUCCCAAAGUCAUGGUUAAGUGGGAAACGAUGUGGGAAGGCCCAGACAGCCAGGAUGUUGGCUUAGAAGCAGCCAUCAUUUAAAGAAAGCGUAAUAGCUCACUGGUCGAGUCGGCCUGCGCGGAAGAUGUAACGGGGCUAAACCAUGCACCGAAGCUGCGGCAGCGAACGUAUCACUUAAAGCGAUUCAGCGGGUUACGAUUGACGGAGCGAAGCGACGUCAAAGCGUAUACAAAGUCGAGUCGGUUUAAGGAUACGUUCGUUGGGUAGGGGAGCGUUCUGUAAGCCUGUGAAGGUGUGUCGUGAGGCAUGCUGGAGGUAUCAGAAGUGCGAAUGCUGACAUAAGUAACGAUAAAGCGGGUGAAAAGCCCGCUCGCCGGAAGACCAAGGGUUCCUGUCCAACGUUAAUCGGGGCAGGGUGAGUCGACCCCUAAGGCGAGGCCGAAAGGCGUAGUCGAUGGGAAACGGGUUAAUAUUCCCGUACUUGGUGUUACUGCGAAGGGGGGACGGAGAAGGCUAUGUUGGCCGGGCGACGGUUGUCCCGGUUUAAGCGUGUAGGUGUGUGUUCCAGGUAAAUCCGGUUCACUUUAACACUGAGGCGUGACGACGAGGCACUACGGUGCUGAAGCAACAAAUGCCCUGCUUCCAGGAAAAGCCUCUAAGCAUCAGGUAACAUCAAAUCGUACCCCAAACCGACACAGGUGGUCAGGUAGAGAAUACCAAGGCGCUUGAGAGAACUCGGGUGAAGGAACUAGGCAAAAUGGUGCCGUAACUUCGGGAGAAGGCACGCUGACACGUAGGUGAAGUGAUUUACUCAUGGAGCUGAAGUCAGUCGAAGAUACCAGCUGGCUGCAACUGUUUAUUAAAAACACAGCACUGUGCAAACACGAAAGUGGACGUAUACGGUGUGACGCCUGCCCGGUGCCGGAAGGUUAAUUGAUGGGGUCAGCGCAAGCGAAGCUCCUGAUCGAAGCCCCGGUAAACGGCGGCCGUAACUAUAACGGUCCUAAGGUAGCGAAAUUCCUUGUCGGGUAAGUUCCGACCUGCACGAAUGGCGUAAUGAUGGCCAGGCUGUCUCCACCCGAGACUCAGUGAAAUUGAACUCGCUGUGAAGAUGCAGUGUACCCGCGGCAAGACGGAAAGACCCCGUGAACCUUUACUAUAGCUUGACACUGAACAUUGAGCCUUGAUGUGUAG
rnacentral:rRNA from 2 species